rnacentral:rRNA from 1 species
UACGAAGGGGGCUAGCGUUGUUCGGAUUUACUGGGCGUAAAGCGCACGUAGGCGGAUCGUUAAGUCGGGGGUGAAAUCCUGGAGCUCAACUCCAGAACUGCCUUCGAUACUGGCGAUCUCGAGUCCGGAAGAGGUGAGUGGAACUCCUAGUGUAGCGGUGGAAUUCGUAGAUAUUAGGAAGAACACCAGGUGGCGAAGGUGGCUCACUGGUCCGGUACUGACGCUGAGGUGCGAAAGCGUGGGGGAGCAAACAGG